GAUGAACGCUGGCGGCGUGCCUAAUACAUGCAAGUCGAGCGAACAGACGAGGAGCUUGCUCCUCUGACGUUAGCGGCGGACGGGUGAGUAACACGUGGAUAACCUACCUAUAAGACUGGGAUAACUUCGGGAAACCGGAGCUAAUACCGGAUAAUAUAUUGAACCGCAUGGUUCAAUAGUGAAAGACGGUUUUGCUGUCACUUAUAGAUGGAUCCGCGCCGCAUUAGCUAGUUGGUAAGGUAACGGCUUACCAAGGCGACGAUGCGUAGCCGACCUGAGAGGGUGAUCGGCCACACGGGAACUGAGACACGGUCCAGACUCCUACGGGAGGCAGCAGUAGGGAAUCUUCCGCAAAGGGCGAAAGCCUGACGGAGCAACGCCGCGUGAGUGAUGAAGGUCUUCGGAUCGUAAAACUCUGUUACUAGGGAAGAACAAAUGUGUAAGUAACUAUGCACGUCUUGACGGUACCUAAUCAGAAAGCCACGGCUAACUACGUG
rnacentral:rRNA from 1 species